UACGUAGGGGGCAAGCGUUGUCCGGAUUCAUUGGGCGUAAAGAGCUUGUAGGCGGUUCGGCAAGUCGGGUGUGAAAACUCCAGGCUCAACCUGGAGACGCCACCCGAUACUGCUGUGACUUGAGUCCGGUAGGGGACCACGGGAAUUCCUGGUGUAGCGGUGAAAUGCGUAGAUAUCUGGAGGAACACCGGUGGCGAAGGCGGCAUCCUGGACCAUGACUGACGCUGAGGAGCGAAAGCCAGGGGAGCAAAGCGGG
rnacentral:rRNA from 1 species